rnacentral:rRNA from 1 species
GAUGUUGGGGAUAACUUGCUGAAAGGCGAGCUAAUACCGAAUGUGGUUGUCUGAUGGCAUCAUUGGAUAACUGAAGUUGGGGACCGUAAGGCCUGACGCAUCACGAUAAGCCCGCGGCCUGUCAGCUAGUUGGUAAGGUAAUGGCUUACCAAGGCUAAGACGGGUAGCUGGUCUGAGAGGACGACCAGCCACACUGGAACUGAGACACGGCCAGACACCUACGGGUGGCAGCAGUCGAGAAUUUUCUCAAUGAGCGAAAGCUUGAAGGAGCGACGCCGCGUGAGGGAUGAAGGGCUUCGGCCCGUAAACCUCUGUCAUUUGCGAACAAACCGAUUCACCUAACACGUGAAGCGCUGAUUGUAGCGAAAGAAGAAGGGACGGCUAACUCUGUGCCAGCAGCCGCGGUAAUACAGAGGUCCCAAGCGUUGGUCGGAUUCACUGGGCCGUAAAAGGGUGCGUAGGUGGC